rnacentral:tRNA from 2 species
GCCCUGGUGGCGGAAUUGGCAGACGCGAAGGAUUCAAAAUCCUUUGACCGCAAGGUCGUGUGGGUUCAAGUCCCACCCAGGGUA